rnacentral:rRNA from 1 species
CGGAGGGAAACCGAGUCUUAACCGGGCGUUAAGUUGCAGGGUAUAGACCCGAAACCCGGUGAUCUAGCCAUGGGCAGGUUGAAGGUUGGGUAACACUAACUGGAGGACCGAACCGACUAAUGUUGAAAAAUUAGCGGAUGACCUGUGGCUGGGGGUGAAAGGCCAAUCAAACCGGGAGAUAGCUGGUUCUCCCCGAAAGCUAUUUAGGUAGCGCCUCGUGAAUUCAUCUCCGGGGGUAGAGCACUGUUUCGGCUAGGGGGCCAUCCCGGCUUACCAACCCGAUGCAAACUGCGAAUACCGGAGAAUGUUAUCACGGGAGACACACGGCGGGUGCUAACGUCCGUCGUGAAGAGGGAAACAACCCAGACCGCCAGCUAAGGUCCCAAAGUCAUGGUUAAGUGGGAAACGAUGUGGGAAGGCCCAGACAGCCAGGAUGUUGGCUUAGAAGCAGCCAUCAUUUAAAGAAAGCGUAAUAGCUCACUGGUCGAGUCGGCCUGCGCGGAAGAUGUAACGGGGCUAAACCAUGCACCGAAGCUGCGGCAGCGACACUGUGUGUUGUUGGGUAGGGGAGCGUUCUGUAAGCCUGUGAAGGUGUGUCGUGAGGCAUGCUGGAGGUAUCAGAAGUGCGAAUGCUGACAUAAGUAACGAUAAAGCGGGUGAAAAGCCCGCUCGCCGGAAGACCAAGGGUUCCUGUCCAACGUUAAUCGGGGCAGGGUGAGUCGACCCCUAAGGCGAGGCCGAAAGGCGUAGUCGAUGGGAAACGGGUUAAUAUUCCCGUACUUGGUGUUACUGCGAAGGGGGGACGGAGAAGGCUAUGUUGGCCGGGCGACGGUUGUCCCGGUUUAAGCGUGUAGGUGUGUGUUCCAGGUAAAUCCGGUUCACUUUAACACUGAGGCGUGAUGACGAGGCACUACGGUGCUGAAGCAACAAAUGCCCUGCUUCCAGGAAAAGCCUCUAAGCAUCAGGUAACAUCAAAUCGUACCCCAAACCGACACAGGUGGUCAGGUAGAGAAUACCAAGGCGCUUGAGAGAACUCGGGUGAAGGAACUAGGCAAAAUGGUGCCGUAACUUCGGGAGAAGGCACGCUGACACGUAGGUGAAGUGAUUUACUCAUGGAGCUGAAGUCAGUCGAAGAUACCAGCUGGCUGCAACUGUUUAUUAAAAACACAGCACUGUGCAAACACGAAAGUGGACGUAUACGGUGUGACGCCUGCCCGGUGCCGGAAGGUUAAUUGAUGGGGUCAGCGCAAGCGAAGCUCCUGAUCGAAGCCCCGGUAAACGGCGGCCGUAACUAUAACGGUCCUAAGGUAGCGAAAUUCCUUGUCGGGUAAGUUCCGACCUGCACGAAUGGCGUAAUGAUGGCCAGGCUGUCUCCACCCGAGACUCAGUGAAAUUGAACUCGCUGUGAAGAUGCAGUGUACCCGCGGCAAGACGGAAAGACCCCGUGAACCUUUACUAUAGCUUGACACUGAACAUUGAGCCUUGAUGUGUAG